AUUUAUAAAAACUAAAGAACAAUACAAAUCAGAAAACUUAACAGGAUUUGUUUGAAUGUAAGAACUUGUUCUCUACACUACACUACACUACACUGCAGACAGACACUCGCAGAUGCACACACUCGCAGACGCACACACUGACAAACACUGACACACACUCUCUCUCUCAAAUUCACUUGAAGCUUAUUCAUUCAAUUACUACCAUCAUUGUAGUAAGUGCAAGCUUCAUUUAUACACCACAUUUUAACAAAGCUUAAGAUGACCAAGAGCUAUAAAAGAACUUUAAAAUUAAAUUAAAAAGUACAACACACACAAAUAUAUUUGUCAAUAAUAACCUAUAUGGGAGAAAGCACAGAAUAUACACUGCAAAAAUUGCUUUUCUAACUUAGUAGUUUUGUCCUGUUGUCAGUCCAAAUUUAAAAAAAAAUCUUAUAUCAAGAAACAUGUACUAGACACAUGAAAAAGCAUAAGAAAUUAUGUCUUGUUUUCUGAAAAAACACCUCAAAUUAAGUGAUUGUUUGCUUAAAGCAAGAAAAAUUAUCCGCCGAUGGGGUACACAAAUAAUCUUAAUGAGAUAUAAUUUCAAACAGAAGUUUUAAGCAUCAAUUAAUUUUCUUGUCUAGUAAUCUUGAUUUAAGAUUUUUUAGAUAUUUGGACUGGAAAUUAGAAAAAAUUACUAAGGAAGUUUUGCAGUGUAGCUAUACAUGACAACAGAUUGAUAAAUGAAUGGUCCAAAAAAGGCGAGUGAAUAAAAACGUGUCCUUAGUCUAACAAUGCAAAGUGCAAAGUAACUACACCACCCCUGAUUAUACUGUUAUUAACCAGCUAAUGCUAACUUGUGAUGCUUGUCAAGCUGGAUAACGAGUAAACACCAGCACCAGGGACAUUACGUUCUUCACUUCGAAACGGAACAAAAGUAGGAUUCUGUAAUGACCAGGGGCGGAGCCAGCCGAUUUUGCCGGGGCUUCAGCCCCGGAUGUUUUGAUUGUAGCCCCGAUUCCCGAACGAGAAAAAAAAAAAAAAAAAUCCCUUUUUUUUUUUUGAGCCUAUGUAAACCCGCGAAAUCAUAAGUUGUCCUAUUUGCGCUUUGGCUUUGCACGUACUGCAUAGUGCAUACAGCCUGUAAAAAUAGACCUUAAAAAUAAUCUAGCCUAGAGUAUAGGCUACAUUUCUUUGCUGUCGUUUCUUCCUGUUGAAUAUGCAGCAGGUAGGGGAGGAGCUAGCAGCAAAGUCAAGUGUCUGAGAGAGUGUUGUUAAUAACGACAGACAGCGGGCAGGAAAAAUGAAGCAAACGAGACUUUGGGGAUUUUUUGGAAAGAAGUCAGUGGCAAAGCAGAUGAGAGUAGAUCAUGAUCAGAAACCCGAUUAGAAAUCAUUAUGGAAGGUGAUGAGAGACUACAGCAAGUGAUGAGAAAGACUAGCAAGUGGAUGAGAGACUACAGCAAGUGAUGAGAAAGACUAGCAAGUGGAUGAGAGACUACAGCAGGUGAUGAGAAAGACUAGCAAGUGGAUGAGAGACUACAGCAGGUGAUGAAAGACUACAGCAGGUGAUGAGAGACUACAGCAGGUGAUGAGAAAGACUACAGCAGUGCCAUGUAUGGAAUGGGAGGGACUUGACCAGUUGCGUCGCUGCUCCUGCGGUGAUGAUGAAGCCGACUGACUUUUCUCUGCUAUUGAAGGAGGUCGUCCUUCCUCUGAACAUUAAAACCAAUAGAAGAUCAAUAG